GCAAGCAGCUUGUGUGCUCAAUUUAGGCUUAUAAACCUUUGUCAAAUGGAAGAACGGAUAACCCAAUACAGAGAAGGACAGCCAAGAAGAUACAUUUAAGGUAACAGCGGGAUUCGAACCCGCUUCAUCCACGUUUAUGCUUAAAGAGGAGUAGGACAAUUUGUUUUUCCCACCAGAAUUUUGUUUUUUUAACAUAAACUUGCUCUUUUUUGCUAAAGUCGAAAUUUAAAAAAAGGAAUUGGUUGCCAUAAAACUAUCAAGAUUUAUAAAAAUUGGUGUUUUUUUUAUCUCAUUUAGCCGAAGCAGAAAAAAAAACGGUUUUGAUAGGAUUAUAAGUUAUGUGUCGAUCGACUGAAAUGUGUUGGGAGUUUUGCAGAUAGCCUGAUAUAUUUGAAAAUGGCAAUGUUAGACAUAAAAAGAAACAAAAUUAAAUGCCGAGAAUGUCAAAUAGCUGCAUUCAAGUACGCACCUGAUUUUUUUUUAAUUACAACAGCAAUUUGUGCGGCCCCCGAGUUUGCAUAUAAACCUCAGUGUUCACAAAAACUGUCCUCGGCAGUAGUGAAAUCGAAGUGAGUGUCCUACUUCUGUUGUGAAAAGGUUUUUAAAAAAUAUAUGAUUUACUACCCCUGGUGAUGUUGCUGAGCUACUUAAGAUCAUUGGUAUUCAAACCAUGGAAACCAACAGAUAUUUUCUGCGAAACAGGAAUCACUAUAACUUGAGACCUAGAAAGAAGAAAAGAAACCCCCGGGUCAGCAACAUCGUGAAAAGAAGUCGUCGAAACAGAAAGAAAUGUCCAGCAAUCCGAGUGACCGAUCUCUUGACCUCAAGGACUGACGAGUGUCCCAUUUGCCUGGACAUAAUAUUGGCGGCUCAAAAUUCUCAAUUAUUGACAUGUGGUCACAGCUUCCACAGGACAUGCAUUACGACUUGGUUCAGGCAGAACUUAUCCUGUCCUGUAUGUCGUCAGCGACCUGGUAUCACUUCGUUGAAAGUAUUGUUCCCCUUUGUGAAAUUUUCUCAAACUUUCGCUCUGUGGCUGUGGCAUACUGUUCAAAGGUCUUUGAACAGAAAUACGUAAAAAUAAAAAAUUAUUUUUAUUUUCUUUUAUUCUAUGUUAUGAAGAUCAUGCCAGUCAAUUGAUUCUGAAAAAUCAUAUUAGUGUAAAUGAAUUAUUGUUUGCUUUUGUUAAAUAGUUUUGUUAUUGUUUUUCUUAAUGCCAAAAAUAAAGUCUAUAUCAUUCAUAGAACAAAA